rnacentral:rRNA from 1 species
CUGCGGCGCGCCUACCAUGCAAGUCGAACGGAACUUAACUUAGCGGAGGCUUUCGGGCCGAAGCUGUUUUAAGUUUAGUGGCGAACGGGUGAGUAACACGUGAGCAACCUACCUUUUGGCGGGGGACAACGUUUGGAAACAGACGCUAAUACCGCGUAAGACCACGGAACCGCAUGGUUCUGUGGCCAAAGCAUUUAUGCACCAAAAGAUGGGCUCGCGGCUGAUUAGCUAGUUGGUGAGGUAAUGGCCCACCAAGGCGACGAUCAGUAGCCGGACUGAGAGGUUGACCGGCCACAUUGGGACUGAGACACGGCCCAGACUCCUACGGGAGGCAGCAGUGGGGAAUAUUGCACAAUGGGGGAAACCCUGAUGCAGCGACGCCGCGUGGAGGAAGAAGGUUUUCGGAUUGUAAACUCCUGUCUUCGGGGACGAUAAUGACGGUACCCGAGGAGGAAGCCACGGCUAACUACGUGCCAGCAGCCGCGGUAAAACGUAGGUGGCAAGCGUUGUCCGGAAUUACUGGGUGUAAAGGGAGCGCAGGCGGGAUGGUAAGUUGGAGGUGAAAACUAUGGGCUCAACCCAUAGCCUGCCUUCAAAACUACUGUUCUUGAGUGAUGUAGAGGUUGGCGGAAUUCCCGGUGUAGCGGUGGAAUGCGUAGAUAUCGGGAGGAACACCAGUGGCGAAGGCGGCCAACUGGGCAUCAACUGACGCUGAGGCUCGAAAGUAUGGGGAGCAAACAGGAUUAGAUACCCUGGUAGUCCAUACUGUAAACGAUGAUUACUAGGUGUGUGGGGAUAGACCCCCUGCGUGCCGGAGUUAACACAAUAAGUAAUCCACCUGGGGAGUACGGCCGCAAGGCUGAAACUCAAAGGAAUUGACGGGGGCCCGCACAAGCAGUGGAGUAUGUGGUUUAAUUCGACGCAACGCGAAGAACCUUACCAGGUCUUGACAUCGUAGGCAUAGCAUGGAGACAUGUGAAACUCUUCGGAGCCUAUAGACAGGUGGUGCAUGGUUGUCGUCAGCUCGUGUCGUGAGAUGUUGGGUUAAGUCCCGCAACGAGCGCAACCCUUAUCGUUAGUUACUACGCAAGAGGACUCUAGCGAGACUGCCGUUGACAAAACGGAGGAAGGUGGGGAUGACGUCAAAUCAUCAUGCCCUUUAUGACCUGGGCUACACACGUACUACAAUGGCCGCGAACAGAGAGAAGCGAAGCAGCGAUGCAGAGCAAACCUCAGAAAAGCGGUCUCAGUUCGGAUUGGAGGCUGCAACCCGCCUCCAUGAAGCCGGAAUUGCUAGUAAUCGCGGAUCAGCAUGCCUCGGAGAGGACGUUCCCGGGCCUUGUACACACCGCCCGUCCCCUUUAGGGAGCCGGGGGGACCCGAAGUCUGUAGCCUAACCGCAAGGGGGGCGCAGCCGGAAGGUAAAA